CACGUAGGGCGCAAGCGUUGUCCGGAAUUAUUGGGCGUAAAGAGCUCGUAGGCGGUCUGUUGCGUCCGCUGUGAAAACUCGGGGCUUAACCCCGAGCCUGCAGUGGAUACGGGCAGACUAGAGGUAGGUAGGGGAGAAUGGAAUUCCUGGUGUAGCGGUGGAAUGCGCAGAUAUCAGGAAGAACACCCGUGGCGAAGGCGGCUCUCUGGAACGCAACUGACGCUGAGACGCGAAAGCGUGGGGAGCGAACAGG
rnacentral:rRNA from 1 species